rnacentral:rRNA from 1 species
AUUGAACGCUGGCGGCAUGCCUUACACAUGCAAGUCGAACGGUAACGCGGGGCAACCUGGCGACGAGUGGCGAACGGGUGAGUAAUAUAUCGGAACGUGCCCAGAGGUGGGGGAUAGCCCGGCGAAAGCCGGAUUAAUACCGCAUACGACCUACGGGUGAAAGCGGGGGAUCGCAAGACCUCGCGCCAUUGGAGCGGCCGAUAUCAGAUUAGGUAGUUGGUGGGGUAAAGGCCUACCAAGCCAACGAUCUGUAGCUGGUCUGAGAGGACGACCAGCCACACUGGGACUGAGACACGGCCCAGACUCCUACGGGAGGCAGCAGUGGGGAAUUUUGGACAAUGGGCGCAAGCCUGAUCCAGCCAUGCCGCGUGCGGGAAGAAGGCCUUCGGGUUGUAAACCGCUUUUGUCAGGGAAGAAAAGCUCCGGGCUAAUCCCCUGGGGUCAUGACGGUACCUGAAGAAUAAGCACCGGCUAACUACGUGCCAGCAGCCGCGGUAAUACGCAGGGUGCAAGCGUUAAUCGGAAUUACUGGGCGUAAAGCGUGCGCAGGCGGUGAUGCAAGACAGAUGUGAAAUCCCCGGGCUCAACCUGGGAACUGCAUUUGUGACUGCAUCGCUGGAGUGCGGCAGAGGGGGAUGGAAUUCCGCGUGUAGCAGUGAAAUGCGUAGAUAUGCGGAGGAACACCGAUGGCGAAGGC